AGAAAAAAGAAGAAGAAGAAGAAUGUAAUGCCGUGCGACGGCGUAGUAUAACUGAAAACUGAUUUCUCUCUAAGCUGACUAGAUCUGCUUGCUAGACCUGCGUCCAUUUAACCAUCUACUCCGAGGGAAGUUGAGAUUUUUUUUACAUUUCCCUUUAGGAGAAGUCACAUGUACCUGCACGAUCUUUAUCAACGUAUAACCAGACUAUCCGGAACCGGAAACAGACGAACGAAAAAGCCAAAAUGUUAUGCCAUCUCCGAGAAAAUUCAAGUUAACAUUGUUGUUACCUAAAAGUAUUUUGCGACCUCAACGAACGAAUUCUGGAAAAAAAUCCGCAUAACCCCAGAAAAC